UAUGUUUCCUCAACUUAAUUGGCCUCAGGAUGCUUUUCACAGAGCAUCCCAUAGCACUAGUAUAUCUGAGAAGAGUUUUCAGCGUCAUUCAUGUGACAUUCAGCAUGUGCCACUUUACAUUUUUAUCUUUACAUUUAAUUUUGCCUUCCCUAAAGCAGAAAGGAAACUCAAGGGCAAGAAUAAAAUCCUACUCAUAUACUCAGGGAAUGCUCUAUAAAUGUGCCGAUAUAAAAAACAAAGCAUAGUCUACCUAUCUGCCAGCUGACCCUGAAUUUAAGACCACCAUGGAUGGUUGUGCAGAUUGAGAACAUCACAACUUUAGGGGACAACAUUCGCCUACAUUGCAAUGUGAGUAACAGUUCCCCAAACAGCGCCCCACUGGUGGGCGCCUGUCUUCCAGCCCCUGUGCCCAAGAGUCCUGGCAUGUUUUCUUUACAUCCACCACAACGUGGAGCGUAGCAGAUCUUGGCGUACUCUGAAAUAUUCCAUUCACACAUUCACACUAACUAUAGUUAAUACCAUAUAUUUUACUGAAUAUUUUAUGGGAGAAAUAGCAGAGGGAGUUUGCACCACACCUGCAGUAAACAUUUUAAAAAUCACCCAGUAGACAUUUCUAAUUUUCCAAAGAUGCUAUUUAGCUUUGCCUCGCCUAUGGACAUUUUCCCCUUUUGUCCUUACCCCUAGAGGCACACUGAUUUUCCUCCUCAUUUAAUUUUGAUUUCUCUCAACUGCCAUAACAAUGCAUAGAAGAAGGAAGUAAAUAGCCUCAAGCCACCACAGAAAGUCUUUAUUACAUCAUAAAACCACUGGUGUUUGAGGGUCUUCAGGGAUCAAGUGAGAAUGUCAGCAAAACAAACCAAAGUGAAUAACUAUUUAAUGACUCAAUUAUAAAUAUCUACACAUACCAGUUGGCUCAUCACAGUGGGAUAAGUACUGCAAUGAACAUCCUCCUCUCGAUGCAUGUCCUUGUUCCUACGGGCUAGCGUUAGCAUUGUCUGGGCUCCUCAAAGUGUGGACUGAAGACUAUUACCAGAUAAUGACUACAAAGUACAGAAAUUGAGAAUAAGCUUUCAGAAACUUGAAAAGCAAAUUACCUGGGUACUUUGAUGUCUGCUGAACUGACAAGAAAAAAAAAAAAGUCUGCACUACCUCAGUGUAUCUGCAGGAAGGCAUCUCAUGAGCCCCAUCUGAAUUUGGACGUGACUUAGAUUACAAGAUGCCAUAUGGGAUGAGCUUUGGGAGUCCAGAGAGAGGUGAAUGGCUUAAAGUUUUGACUCCAAGAUCAAGAGUCACACACUCUACUGACUGAACUAGGCAAGUGUUCUAUUAUUUCAGUUUUUUAUGUUUGUUAAGACUUCCUUUCUAGAAUUCAGUUGGUUCACUCUUCUCUAUAUAUUAAUUUCAUCAAAUUUGUUAAUCAUGUUGCUCAAAUCCUCACAUUUUUACUUUUUUUUUUGUUUGCUCAUUCUUUUUAUAACUUUUAGCAAAAGAGUUGUAUUAAAAUCUCCCAUUAUGAUCAUGAAUUGAUCUACUUCUCCCCUUUAGUUCUGAGAAUGUUGUUUCACAUAUUUUGAGGCUACACAAAAAUCAAUAGUGAUAAUCUUCCAAAGAACCACUCCACUGGGCAACCCUAAGUGCUGGGUUAUCCAGGAGACCUGGAAAGACCUCUGGCUGGCCUGGAUCAUUCAUAUAGCUCAUUUUUGCUCUGUUACUCUUAGAUGUUAGUAGCCUCCUUGUGGUUUGGUACAUGCUUAACACACUGCUGCUUGGAGCCUUUGAAUUUUCCAUCCCCUGUCCCUAGAACACUCUUCUAGGUGUCCUCAAGGCUUGUGUCAGUGAGAGAUACGAAGCACACAGAAUUAUACCUGGAUCACAGGAGCUAUUAUAAGAGGAGGGAAGGAAUACUAUGAGUUCAAGUGUAAGGAGGGCAUCAUGGAGAGUCAUUAAGAUUCACCCAGAGAAAAACCGAUUUUGAAUGGGGACAGAGAACAACAUAUUGUAGUCAAGUAAACCAAGGCAUGGAGCUGUGAACAUGAGAGCUUCUCUUGAAACAUCGCAGUGAGUCCAGGGCUCAGGUAGGAAAAUGGUAGGUGAUAGGUGAAAAGACUUGGAAAAUAAGUUGAAUCACAGAAUAAAGGGCCGUGAAGAUGAGGCAAAGGAUUUUGGACUCUGCAUUAUCCAUCCUCCUCCCAGACUCUUAAGUUCUUUCCUUAUUAGAAUAUAAGAUUCCUGAGGACAUACCUAGAAAGAUGCUCUGCACAUAACAAGCAAGCCAUGUUCUACAUACUGGUGAUUAAGCACGCAGGCCCUGGGGUGAGGUUGUCUGGGUUCGGAUCUUGCCCCAUUCCUUCUUUACUGUAGGUGCCUAAAUGCUCUACCCCUUCUUUUCCUGAUCUGUAAAAAUGGGCUGACGUACCAGGCUCACUGGGUAGGUGAGGAUUAGCUGUUUUAUAUAAAGCACUUGGUAUAUGUUUAUCACAUAACCAUUAGCUGUUAUUAACUUGGAAAAUUCCUAAUUUCUUUUCUUUAAUUUUUUUUAAGUUUAUUUAUUUUGAGAGAGAGUGUGUGUGUAUGCACACAAGCGGGGAGGGACAGAGAGAGAGGGAGAGGAAGAAUCCCAAGCACAGAGUCCAACGUGGGGGUCGAUCCCACGAACUGUGAAGUCAUGACCUAAGCCAAAAUCCAGAGUCACUUAAACUACUGAGCCACCCAGGUGCUCCAAAAAUUCCUAAUUUCUAUAAUAGUCUCCUUACAUUCAAGAUUCAAACUUCUGCCUUAAGGGAGAAAUUUGUAAGUAGAGGUGGAGGAAGGAGAACUUACAUCACCCAACCUAGUAACUAUAGUCUGACCCCACAGCAUUUUUCUAAUUUCUUUGUGACAAGUACUGUCUCAGUUUCCAAACUGUUGUUCAAUCAAGUGACAACAUGGCAGUGACUGCUGGGAUUUUUAUCUGUUUCCAUGACACCUAAAAUUUAAUAAAUAAGGAAAGGAUGAUAAGGAGGCCUUAUAUUCUGAUCAUUACUUUGCUUCCAAGAGCUGUUACUCCACGUAAGUGCCCCCGCAAAAGCUUAGCUAUUCAAGUGAUGGUUAGAAAU